CACGCAGUAAACGAUGAUUACUAGGAGUUUGCGAUACAAUGUAAGCUCUACAGCGAAAGCGUUAAGUAAUCCACCUGGGGAGUACGCCGGCAACGGUGAAACUCAAAGGAAUUGACGGGG
rnacentral:rRNA from 1 species